rnacentral:rRNA from 1 species
UACAGAGGGGGCAAGCGUUGUUCGGAAUUACUGGGCGUAAAGGGCGCGUAGGCGGCCUGCUAAGUCGAACGUGAAAUCCCCGGGCUCAACCCGGGAACUGCGUCCGAUACUGGCAGGCUUGAAUUCGGGAGAGGGAUGCGGAAUUCCAGGUGUAGCGGUGAAAUGCGUAGAGAUCAUGAGGAAGACCAGUGGCGAAGGCGGGUCUCUGGACAGUUCCUGACACUGAGGCACGAAGGCCAGGGGAGCAAACGGG